AUGAAUGGAAUGAAACGGAAUAAAAAAAAUAACAAAAUAGGUCCACUCCACUCUUCACCCCUAUCUUAUGCAAAAGCGUUACCCAACUUCAAAUAUUUGUCACUCGUCCUUCGAUUGAAAACAACAACCCACUGCAGCGGCGGCAAACACCACUCACUCCCUCUAUCACUUUUCACGAUUCCCUUUUCCUCCUCCACAACUCAUUCAUCA